rnacentral:rRNA from 1 species
GAUGAACGCUGGCGGCGCGCCUAACACAUGCCAGUCGAACGAUUAAAGCACCUUCGGGUGUGUAUAAAGUGGCGAACGGCUGAGUAACACGUGGGCAACCUGCCCCUUUCAUUGGGAUAGCCACGGGAAACCGUGGAUAAUACCGAAUACUUCGAGACUUCCGCAUGGAAGACUCGAGAAAGCUCCGGCGGAGAGGGGUGGGCCCGCGGCCUGUUAGCUUGUUGGUGGGGUAACGGCCUACCAAGGCAAUGCUGGGUAGCUGGGUUGAGAGACCGACCAGCCAGAUGGGGACUGAGACAGGGCCCAGACUCCUACGGGAGGCAGCAGUGGGGAAUCUUGCACAAUGGGCGAAAGCCUGAUGCAGCGACGCCGCGUGCGGGAUGAAGGCCUUCGGGUUGUAAACCGCUUUCAGCAGGGACGAGGCGAAAGUGACGGUACCUGCAGAAGAAGCCCCGGCUAACUACGUG